rnacentral:rRNA from 1 species
AUGGCUGUGCUCAUUCGAGGAACGGAGGAGGACCAGAACAGGAUUGCUACCAUCCUCCAAUGUGCUAUAGGCAAAUUUCCAUGCAAAUACUUGGGCAUCCCUCUGUCUAUCAACCAGCUUACGAAAAAUGACUGGCAGCCCCUACUUGACCAAGUGAAAAAGUUCAUCCCGGCCUGGCAGAAGGGCCUCAUUCAUAGGCCUGGACGGCUUGUGCUCAUUAAAUCUGUGGUCUCCACCAGACCCAUACAUCAGCUUAUGAUCCUCAAGGCGCCGGCUUGGGUGUUUGAAGAGAUAAAUGGCUGGAUGCGAUCCUUCUUUUGGGCUGGGAAGGAGAAGUCUAAUGGAGGGCAGUGCUUGGUGGCGUGGAACACUAUAUGCCGCCCAACUUGCUAUGGAGGUUUGGGCAUAAAAAACCUCAGGUUACAAGCUUUGGCGCUCAGGGCACGGUGGGAGUGGUUGCGACGUACAGAUCUUGAACGACCAUGGCAAGGAAUCUCGUUCUUGGUUGACAACGAGGCUAAAGAGGUGUUCAACAGUUUGGUUGCGAUCACAGUAGGCAUCGGCAGUAGGGUUCUCUUCUGGAGGGACCGAUGGAUUAAUGGAUCGGCGGUGCGAAAUAUAGCACCGGCUAUACUGUCUCUAGUAAAUACCCGCACGAUCAACAGUCGCACGGUCGAAUAG